rfam:Candidate division CPR2 bacterium GW2011_GWC2_39_10 TT18_C0010, whole genome shotgun sequence.
GCGCGUGUAGCUCAGGUGGUUAGAGCGCAGCUCUGAUAAAGCUGAGGUCCCUGGUUCGAGUCCAGGCACGCGCA